AUCUAGAUGACGAGUCCCAAAUAGGACGAAAGGGGCGUUCUGGAU
rnacentral:hammerhead_ribozyme from 1 species